AUUAAACGCUGGCGGCAUGCCUUACACAUGCAAGUCGAACGGCAGCACGGGGGCAACCCUGGUGGCGAGUGGCGGACGGGUGAGUAAAGCAUCGGAACGUAUCCUGGAGUGGGGGAGUAACGUAGCGAAAGUUACGCUAAUACCGCAUAUUCUGUGAGCAGGAAAGCAGGGGAUCGCAAGACCUUGCGCUCUGGGAGCGGCCGAUGUCGGAUUAGCUAGUUGGUGGGGUAAAGGCCUACCAAGGCGACGAUCCGUAGCGGGUCUGAGAGGAUGAUCCGCCACACUGGGACUGAGACACGGCCCAGACUCCUACGGGAGGCAGCAGUGGGGAAUUUUGGACAAUGGGCGCAAGCCUGAUCCAGCCAUGCCGCGUGAGUGAAG
rnacentral:rRNA from 1 species